AAUCUGCCUCCGAAUCGGGGAUAACAUUGCGAAAGCGAUGCUAAUACCGGAUAAAAUCUGGUUGGCUUAGGUGAACCGGAUCAAAGGUGGUCUCUUUAUAAAAGCUACCGUUUGGAGAUGAGCUCGCGUACCAUUAGCUAGUUGGUGAGGUAAAGGCUCACCAAGGCGACGAUGGUUAGCUGGUCUGAGAGGAUGAUCAGCCACACCGGAACUGGAACACGGUCCGGACUCCUACGGGAGGCAGCAGUGAGGAAUUUUGCGCAAUGGGGGAAACCCUGACGCAGCAACGCCGCGUGAGUGAUGAAGGCUUUCGGGUCGUAAAGCUCUGUCAGGUGGGAAGAACCCACCAAGUGUUAAGACCACUUGGUGCUGACGGUACCACCGAAGGAAGCACCGGCUAACUCCGUGCCAGCAGCCGCGGUAAUACGGGGGGUGCGAGCGUUAUUCGGAAUCAUUGGGCGUAAAGGGCGCGCAGGCGGUUUUGUAAGUCAGAUGUGAAAUCCCGGGGCUUAACCCCGGAAGUGCAUAUGAAACUAUGAGACUUGAGUAUGGGAGAGGGAAGCGGAAUUCCUGGUGUAGCGGUGAAAUGCGUAGAUAUCAGGAGGAACACCGGUGGCGAAGGCGGCUUCCUGGACCAAUACUGACGCUGAGGCGCGAAGGCGUGGGGAGCGAACAGGAUUAGAUACCCUGGUAGUCCACGCAGUAAACGUUGAUCACUAGGUGUAGCGGGUAUUGACCCCUGCUGUGCCGGAGUUAACGCAUUAAGUGAUCCGCCUGGGGAGUACGAUCGCAAGAUUAAAACUCAAAGGAAUUGACGGGGGCCCGCACAAGCGGUGGAGCAUGUGGUUUAAUUCGACGCAACGCGAAGAACCUUACCUGGACUUGACAUCUCGGGAAUUCCGUUGAAAGACAGGAGUGCCUUUAACGAGGAAUCCGAUGACAGGUGCUGCAUGGCUGUCGUCAGCUCGUGUCGUGAGAUGUUGGGUUAAGUCCCGCGACGAGCGCAACCCCUAUCUUCAGUUACCAUCAGGUGAUGCUGGGACUUUGGAGAUACUGCCCCGGUUAACGGGGAGGAAGGUGGGGAUGACGUCAAGUCCUCAUGGCCUUUAUGUCCAGGGCUACACACGUGCUACAAUGGUAUGUACAAAGGGAAGCGAUCCCGCGAGGAGGAGCUAAUCCCAAAAAGCAUAUCAGAGUUCGGAUCGGAGUCUGCAACUCGACUCCGUGAAGUUGGAAUCGCUAGUAAUCGCGGAUCAGCAUGCUGCGGUGAAUACGUUCCCGGGCCUUGUACACACCGCCCGUCACACCAUGAGAGUUGGCUGUACCAGAAGUCGUUGGGCUAACCCGCAAGGGGGUAGGCGCCUA
rnacentral:rRNA from 1 species